GGCACGGAGGAAGAACUGCCCUCUCUAUUCCCUCUUCCUUAUGUUCAUCCUAAGUAUUUGCAGCUGAUCCCUACAGAAAGGAACAUUUGGGGCUGGAUAGACUUUUGAUGUGACCCAGAAUGACUCUGAAUAGAGCCUUAAGAAAUACAGACAUCAGCAUUAGAUCCUGCUGUUCUUGUCCUCAUGCAAAAAGCUGUCUUUCUCUCCUGCAACAUUUCACACGCCCUUUGAGCUGGUAUAAACAAUGUACGGAAAAGCAGAGGAAAGGGAAUCUCUCAAAUGCCUGCUGCACCAACUGGCACCACGAAUGAUCUUUAAAUAUCCUUACCAGACCUUGCUCAAGAACAAGCAUGUGUGAAGUGGUGAAGACUGCAAGACCUUAAAGGCUGCCCUUUGCAGAACUGCCUGACUGCCCUGCAGCCCCACGACUUUCGGGAGUUGGCACACAUGUCCAGGAUUUCACCAUCCUUUCUUGGAGAGGGAUCCCAGAUGUGGUGCAGCAAGGGCACGGCAGUUUGCAGGCCUUACAGAGAGCUGCGCUUGGGUAGGGAGAUGCUCCUUCACUCUCUGCCCCUGCUCAAGCACAUGCAGUCUGUCCCAGCAGGGAGUAGAGCCAUGCGUGAACACGCAGGGAGGAGAUGGGUGCAGUUAAACAGAGCUUCUUUUUAAACUCUUCUGUCUUCUAAAGUGUUGAGACUCACACAAAACCAUUGUGUGCUAAAUGCCCCCUGGAAUGAAUCUCUUAAAAGACAGAAAAUUACUUGACACAUGUCCAGCUGGAAUGAAAUGGAAACACAACAGCAAUAGUUACAGAGAAAAAUACAUGCCCAAUAUAUUUGUUCAGCAGAAUAAUCAUUGGCAGUGCUGAAAAAGAAAAGGAAUUUGUUGCAACUGUCAUUGUCAGGGAUUUCCAAAGAUGUAAUUGUCAGGAAUAGGCUAUGUUCAAAUAGAAGAACAUGCAAGUGAGAGGAGCGAUACUGGCAGAUCAAGAUACUGCCACCCUCUGUUCAUCUCCGAACUUGGAUCAUCACAUUGGAAGGCUUCCUUGUACUGUACAUCCCCAGGCAUCUCACUCCUUAUCAGAGGAAGCCAACAGUGCGUGGCUCAGGAGGGAAGAUGCUCCACGGACUAUUCUCCCCUUGGACUCUGUGAAGACUUUCUGCUGAAGAACAGAA